rnacentral:rRNA from 1 species
GUGGGGAAUCUUAGACAAUGGGCGCAAGCCUGAUCUAGCCAUGCCGCGUGAGCGAUGAAGGCCUUAGGGUUGUAAAGCUCUUUCGUGGGGGAAGAUAAUGACUGUACCCCAAGAAGAAGCCCCGGCUAACUCCGUGCCAGCAGCCGCGGUAAUACGGAGGGGGCUAGCGUUGUUCGGAAUUACUGGGCGUAAAGCGCACGUAGGCGGACUGGAAAGUCAGGGGUGAAAUCCCGGGGCUCAACCUCGGAACUGCCUUUGAAACUCCUGGUCUUGAGGUCGAGAGAGGUGAGUGGAAUUCCGAGUGUGGAGGUGAAAUUCGUAGAUAUUCGGAGGAACACCAGUGGCGAAGGCGGCUCACUGGCUCGAUACUGACGCUGAGGUGCGAAAGCGUGGGGAGCAAACAGGAUUAGAUACCCGAGUAGUCC